GGUGAGUGGCGGACGGGUGAGUAACACGUGGGUAACCUGCCCAAAAGUGGGGGAUAACAUUUGGAAACAAGUGCUAAUACCGCAUAACAACUACUUUCACAUGAUCGUAGCUUGAAAGAUGGCUCUGCUAUCGCUUUUGGAUGGACCCGCGGCGUAUUAGCUAGUUGGUGAGGUAAUAGCUCACCAAGGCAAUGAUACGUAGCCGACCUGAGAGGGUAAUCGGCCACAUUGGGACUGAGACACGGCCCAAACUCCUACGGGAGGCAGCAGUAGGGAAUCUUCCACAAUGGGCGAAAGCCUGAUGGAGCAAUGCCGCGUGAGUGAAGAAGGUUUUCGGAUCGUAAAACUCUGUUGUUGAAGAAGAACAUGCGUGAGAGUAACUGUUCACGUACUGACGGUAUUCAACCAGAAAGCCACGGCUAACUACGUGCCAGCAGCCGCGGUAAUACGUAGGUGGCAAGCGUUGUCCGGAUUUAUUG
rnacentral:rRNA from 1 species